AGGACGAACGCUGGCGGCGUGCCUAACACAUGCAAGUGGAGCGACGAACCAGGCUUCGGCCUGGGGCAAAGCCGCGAACGGGUGAGUAACACGUGACUAACCUACCUUCGAGUGGGGGAUAACCUCGGGAAACCGGGGCUAAUACCGCAUAACAUCUUUGGAGUGGAAAUUCUGGAGAUCAAAGGAGCAAUUCGCUGGAAGAGGGGGUCGCGGCUGAUUAGCUAGUUGGCGGGUAACGGCCCACCAAGGCUUAGAUCGGUA
rnacentral:rRNA from 1 species